rnacentral:lncRNA from 1 species
GGUAUAGCCUACUACAUACCUAGGUGAUAUAGUAUAGCCUAUUGCUCUUAGACUACAAACCUGUACAGCAUGUUACUGUACUGAAUACUGUACAUGAUUGUAACACCAUGAUCAGUCACUUAACAUGGCCUCUUACUAGCAACAUUGGCAGUGGAUCUGUAUGCUUAGGGGCCACGAUGAACAAAACAACUCGAGAUUGAAUCAAACACAAGAGAAAAUGAUGCAAUCAAGAGACGUGCCUCAUCCUUUGAAAAAGUGAGAGCUGGAAGCAUAACUAGCACUGAAAACUUGUCCUAUAAUUACAUUCUCCACUAAAAGGAAUCAAGACUCCCUAAGAAGAAUUACUAUAAGUAGUUAUAAUGAUGUAAU